GAGGAAUAUUGGUCAAUGGACGAGAGUCUGAUCCAGCCAUGCCGCGUGCAGGAAGACGGCCCUAUGGGUUGUAAACUGCUUUUGUAUGGGAGCAAUAAGGGCUACGUGUAGUCCGAUGAGAGUACCAUACGAAUAAGCACCGGCUAACUCCGUGCCAGCAGCCGCGGUAAUACGGAGGGUGCAAGCGUUAUCCGGAUUUAUUGGGUUUAAAGGGUGCGUAGGCGGUUUGAUAAGUCAGCGGUGAAAUAUUUCAGCUUAACUGGAAGGGUGCCGUUGAUACUGUCGAGCUUGAAUUUAGUUGCUGUGGGUGGAAUGUGUGGUGUAGCGGUGAAAUGCAUAGAUAUCACACAGAAUAUCGAUUGCGAAGGCAGCUCACAAAGCUAAUAUUGACGCUGAUGCACGAAAGUGUGGGGAUCAAAC
rnacentral:rRNA from 1 species